rnacentral:rRNA from 1 species
AUACGUAGGGGGCGAGCGUUGUCCGGAAUGACUGGGCGUAAAGGGCGUGUAGGCGGCGGUGUAAGUCUGGAGUGAAAGUCCCGCAUUCAAUGUGGGAAUUGCUUUGGAUACUGCAGUGCUAGAGUGCGGCAGAGGUAAGUGGAAUUCCCAGUGUAGCGGUGAAAUGCGUAGAGAUUGGGAGGAACACCAGUGGCGAAGGCGACUUACUGGGCCGUAACUGACGCUGAGGCGCGAAAGCGUGGGGAGCGAACAGGAUUAGAUACCCUGGUAGUCCACGCGGUAAACGAUGAAUGCUAGGUGUUGCGGGUAUCGACUCCUGCAGUGCCGGAGUAAACACAAUAAGCAUUCCGCCUGGGGAGUACGGCCGCAAGGUUGAAACUCAAAUGAAUUGACGGGG